AAACAGCCAUCCUGGCCCUGUAGC
rnacentral:piRNA from 1 species